UACGAAGGGUGCUAGCGUUGUUCGGAUUUACUGGGCGUAAAGCGCACGUAGGCGGAUCGAUCAGUCAGGGGUGAAAUCCCAGAGCUCAACUCUGGAACUGCCUUUGAUACUGUCGAUCUGGAGUAUGGAAGAGGUAAGUGGAAUUCCGAGUGUAGAGGUGAAAUUCGUAGAUAUUCGGAGGAACACCAGUGGCGAAGGCGGCUUACUGGUCCAUUACUGACGCUGAGGUGCGAAAGCGUGGGGAGCAAACAGG
rnacentral:rRNA from 1 species